ACCUUACACACAUUGUCUAGUUUUUUUGAACUUUGCUUUGGGUGCAUCAGCCUAGCUGCGUGCCCAAAGGUCUAAACACAUUUUUUAAUGUUAAAACCUUUAACCAAUAGUCAUGAAAAUUUUUAACAAAAAUUAAAAUCUUCAAAACUUUCAACAACGGAUCUCUUGGUUCUCGCAACGAUGAAGAACGCAGCGAAAUGCGAUACGUAUUGUGAAUUGCAGAUUUUCGUGAAUCAUCGAAUCUUUGAACGCACAUUGCACCCUCUGGUAUUCCAGAGGGUAUGCCUGUUUGAGCGUCAUUUCUCUCUCAAACCUUCGGGUUUGGUAUUGAGUGAUACUCUGUCAAGGGUUAACUUGAAAUAUUGACUUAGCAAGAGUGUACUAAUAAGCAGUCUUUCUGAAAUAAUGUAUUAGGUUCUUCCAACUCGUUAUAUCAGCUAGGCAGGUUUAGAAGUAUUUUAGGCUCGGCUUAACAACAAUAAACUAAAAGUUUGACCUCAAAUCAGGUAGGACUACCCGCUGAACUUAAGCAUAUCA
rnacentral:rRNA from 1 species